CGGGCUCCUCAGAGCCGGGGCCCGGGGCCCGUGAUAGACGGGCCGAGGAAAGGAGAGAGGCGGCGGCGCAGGCGACGGGGAGGCAGCGGCGACACCAUGUCAUCCCCCAGUCCGGGCAAGAGGCGGAUGGACACGGACGUGGUCAAGCUCAUUGAGAGUAAGCAUGAGGUUACGAUCCUGGGAGGACUCAAUGAAUUUGUAGUGAAGUUUUAUGGACCACAAGGAACACCAUACGAAGGUGGAGUAUGGAAAGUUAGAGUGGAUCUUCCUGAUAAAUACCCUUUCAAAUCUCCAUCUAUAGGAUUCAUGAAGAAAAUUUUCCAUCCCAACAUUGAUGAAGCGUCAGGAACUGUGUGUCUAGAUGUAAUUAAUCAAACUUGGACAGCUCUCUAUGAUCUUACCAAUAUAUUUGAGUCCUUCCUGCCCCAGUUGUUGGCCUAUCCCAACCCCAUAGAUCCUCUCAAUGGUGAUGCUGCGGCCAUGUACCUCCACCGACCAGAAGAAUACAAGCAGAAAAUUAAAGAGUACAUCCAGAAAUACGCAACGGAGGAGGCACUCAAAGAGAUGAGGCCCGGGAUAUGGAGUUGUAGUAGAAAAAGCACCUGCUUUUCAGAAAGACUAUUAUUUCCUAACCAUGAGAAGCAGACGAUAAUAUUCAUAUUUAAACAAAGCAAUUUGUUUUAUUACUAAACAAGGUUUUUAUGAAUAAUAGCAUUGAUAUAUAUAUUAUAUAUCACCCUUUAGA